rnacentral:rRNA from 1 species
AAGGAAUAUUGCUCAAUGGGAGAAAUCCUGAAGCAGCAACGCCGCGUGGAGGAUGAAGGGUCUAUGACUUGUAAACUCCUGUAAAGAAGGAAAAAAUUCCCAUUUGAUGGGAGAUGAUGGUACUUCUGGAGUAAGCCCCGGCUAACUACGUGCCAGCAGCCGCGGUAAUACGUAGGGGGCAAGCGUUGUCCGGAUUUACUGGGUGUAAAGGGUGCUCAGGCGGAUUUGUAAGUCAGAGGUGAAAUCUUACAGCUUAACUGUGAAACUGCCUUUGAUACUGCAAGCCUAGAGUAUGGAAGAGAGUGAUGGAAUAUCUGGUGUAGCAGUGAAAUGCGUAGAUAUCAGAUAGAACACCAACGUCGAAGGCAGUCACUUGGUCCAUUACUGACGCUAAAGCACGAAAGCGUGGGUAGCAAACA